UAUUCAACUCCAGUACAACCACUUAACUAAGAGAUAUCAGCUGUGGCCCCACUCUAGGGCAUUUUAUAGGAAAGCUUCACAGACUACAUUCAUGAGUAAAUAUGUAUAUACAGUAAUUUUCUAGUUAGUGCCUUAGUGGAAGUGACAGUUGACAUACAGUGUGACAGACGACAGUGUCAUUGAAUCAAACAAUUAGCUUCUAUAUUAAAUAAACAUUAAACACAAUUAAACAUAAAAAUAUAAGAUAAAUCACUUACAAAUAUUACCCACACAAGUUAUUAAAACUAAAUUAAACAUCAAAAGUUGGUAAUUGCAUUAUAUUAUAGAAAAUUCAAAGUUAUGCUAAGUGUGCAGUUCAGCAAGUAACAAAACAUAAUAUGAAGUUGAAGUCACCCACUCGUAAUCAGUUCUUUGCGAUCUUCCUGGUUCGAGAUUUUAACUUGGGUGUUGUUACCUUAGAAUCGUAAGUAGAUGCUGGAAUGCUUGCAGGAGCCGUAUCAACAUCUUUCAUUGAAUUGACACGGCGACGCUCACCGUUAGCCCCAAUAACAUAUAUUUGGCCAUUCCUGGUCCAACACUUGCUGAUUCCGAAAUGCCUUCUUGCAGCCAUAAACAAAUUAUGCCUGGUUUUGGUCAGGAACUCGGAUAUGGUGAUGCCGGUCCCCUUUAAACCAGACUUAGCCAACCAAAUUUUGUCCUUGUCACAGUGUUCCCUUAGCUUAAUUAGUACAGGGCGAGGCUUAUCAUCACCUUUUAUGCCCACUCUGUGACACCGUUAUAUUAGGGCAUUUGAGCAGAACGGAUAACAUGUUAGCAAUUGGCCCUGGGUUCUCAUCCUUAGACUCAUUUAUGCCAUGUAACAACAAACACUUACGCCUGCUGCGCAUUUCCUGCUCCUCAUGCACCUUAAAAAGAAUUUUCAUUUGAGCCUGUAGAUUCUUGAGACAGAACAGUACUGAGCUUUUGAAUGCCUCAAACUCCCUAGUUAGUGGUGUUUGCUCGAGGGAUGGAGACCUUUCCUGUGCUGCCAAGAGCCACUGCUGGAACUCAUCCAUUUUGGAGGACACCAUUACAGACACAUCCAUCAAUGACUUUUUUAGUUCUUCCAUAAUAAUUAAAUAGGUUGUUGGGAAAUUAAAGAAGAGAAGAUAAGAAAAUUCUACUUUGGGAUAAUUAUUGUUAUCAGAAGGAUAUAAUUAAGGAAAAAUUAGCAAUUCAUAUGCAAUACCACACUAGUACAUCACUAACAGUGGUGUGUGGGCGAUAAAAACGCGGCGCGGCGAAAAGUUGGUCCUUUUCUGCGCGCAGCCUUCGAAGCGUCCGAACGUGUUCUUUGAAAUCGUAGGCUUACGAUAACGCUAAUAAACUGUUCUUGUCAGAACACAUCACCGUUUCUUCACGACAACGUCAAGUAACUGUUCUUGUCAGAACACAUCACCGUUUCUUCACGACAACGUCAAGUAACUGUUCUUGUCAGAACACAUCACCGUUUCUUCACGACAACGUUAACAAACUGUUCUUGUCAGAACACAUCACCGUUUCUUCACGACAACGUUAACAAACUGUUCUUGUCAGAACACAUCACCGUUUCUUCACGACAACGUUAACAAACUGUUCUUGUCAGAACACAUCACCGUUUCUUCACGACAACGUUAACUGUUCUUGUCAGAACACAUCACCGUUUCUUCACGACAACGUUAACUGUUCUUGUCAGAACACAUCACCGUUUCUUCACGACAACGUUAACAAACUGUUCUUGUCAGAACACAUCACCGUUUCUUCACGACAACGUUAACAAACUGUUCUUGUCAGAACACAUCACCGUUUCUUCACGACAACGUUAACAAACUGUUCUUGUCAGAACACAUCACCGUUUCUUCACGACAACGUCAAGUAACUGUUCUUGUCAGAACACAUCACCGUUUCUUCACGACAACGUUAACAAACUGUUCUUGUCAGAACACAUCACCGUUUCUUCACGACAACGUUAACAAACUGUUCUUGUCAGAACACAUCACCGUUUCUUCACGACAACGUUAACAAACUGUUCUUGUCAGAACACAUCACCGUUUCUUCACGACAACGUUAACAAACUGUUCUUGUCAGAACACAUCACCGUUUCUUCACGACAACGUU